UACGAAGGGGGCGAGCGUUGUUCGGAUUUACUGGGCGUAAAGGGCGCGCAGGCAGCCAUUCAAGUCAGGCGUGAAAGCCCGGGGCUUAACCCCGGGUCGGCAGUGGAUACGGGCAGGCUAGAGGUAGGUAGGGGAGAAUGGAAUUCCCGGUGUAGCGGUGAAAUGCGCAGAUAUCGGGAGGAACACCGGUGGCGAAGGCGGUUCUCUGGGCCUUACCUGACGCUGAGGAGCGAAAGCGUGGGGAGCGAACAGG
rnacentral:rRNA from 1 species